rnacentral:rRNA from 1 species
GUGAUUGCUUCUACACUGUGAAAAUUUGGCUGAGAGACUCAGACUGGUCAUGGGUAGACCUAUCUGGGGUUUGAUCGAUGCCACUCCUGGUUUCAGGAGCACCCUUCAUAAUAAACCUAGAAAUUCAGUAUUAUAAAGUUUAAUAAAAAACAACUUUUAACAAUGGAUCUCUUGGUUCUCGCAUCGAUGAAGAACGUAGCAAAGUGCGAUAACUAGUGUGAAUUGCAUAUUCAGUGAAUCAUCGAGUCUUUGAACGCAGCUUGCACUCUAUGGUUUUUCUAUAGAGUACGCCUGCUUCAGUAUCAUCACAAACCCACACAUAACAUUUGUUUAUGUGGUAAUGGGUCGCAUCGCUGUUUUAUUACAGUGAGCACCUAAAAUGUGUGUGAUUUUCUGUCUGGCUUGCUAGGCAGGAAUAUUACGCUGGUCUCAGGAUCUUUUUCUUUGGUUCGCCCAGGAAGUAAAGUACAAGAGUAUAAUCCAGCAACUUUCAAACUAUGAUCUGAAGUCAGGUGGGAUUACCCGCUGAACUUAAGCAUAUCAAUAAGCGGAGGA